AUAAUCAAGUACUGAGUUUAUGAAUGUAGUUUACAUUACUAUGAAUCAACGCAAAUUUUAUAUAACUUUGAGUUAGCAUAGAAGGAAAGAUUAGGGACUAUUUCUCUCUCCUAUCGUCUCUCUUGCAAACGAAAAAAAAAUUACAGAUCUACUUUUCACCGGCGUCCGCCGUCCGGUCGCGAGUGUGAGCGCGUGCCGGCGCCGGUGAACCCUCUCCUCCCUUAUCUGGUUUUACUUUGCUCCACCGGUGGUCUCCUAUUGCUUUGUUGUUGGCUCUGGUUCGGCGUGUUUUGCCCUGUAAGUUCUGUGCGCAAGGUUGCCGGCAGUGGUGGAAGCUCGACGAGAUCUGGUGUUGCAACGCGGUGGGGCGUAAGGGUUUCUCGCCGGUGGAGUCGGCUUUUCUAGGCUGAGAGAGAGGAUCAUGUUUCCCCUUUAGAUCUCUCUCUCGCGUCCUCUCUGUUCUGGGUUGUGUGGAAGGCGUGCUUCUCGGGUUUGCGGUGCGGUGGUGCUGCUCAAGUCUGAUGGUAGCGUGCGACUUCGGUGGUUGGUGUUGCGAGUCUCGUCGGGGCUCCUCUCCUCUGCGCUAGAUUCAAAGGCUACUCCGGUGCCUUAGCCGGAGACGAGUCGCGGGUGUUGGUGUGCAGGCGGAGAUGGCACCGGACCCGGGUCCGACUCAUGUGGGCGUGCAAAGUGGGCUGUUUAUUUGGUCGUCUAUGGCCGGUAAAUUCUGCUUCGUAUGCUCCAAGUCUUUCCGGAAACAUUGCUCUGUCACCGAUUUGAGUUCUACGGUGGUUCUCCAGUGUAGUUCGGGUUCUUGUGUGUUUACUUGUUUCGCUGUCGACUCUAGCGAUCCAUUUGCGAGUCACAAGCACCGUAUCUUCGGUUCUCGAAGGCGGAAAGAGACGUCACGACUUUGGUCUCGGUCGUGGCGGAGUCCCUCUUGCCUCCAGCUACCAUCCCAGUGCUAGUGAAGAAUCACUUGAUUCUCAUUGGUAGUGCAGCUUUGCUGUUUGUGCAGGUCGUUAGAGCCCUCUCGGUAGGUGUGUGGCAUGGAGGUCAGGCCCGUUUUGUGUUCAUGUUUGGUGGCGGCAGUAGCGAGCUCUCUGCUUGGUUGGGAGGCGGUUUCAAACGUUGUGUGACAUUGCGUACAAGCCGAGUGUUGGUGGCAUGUGCAAGGCUCUCGUGCUACUCCGGAGACGACUUGAGAAGUCUUGGCAUCCUAGGCAACGAGGAGAACCUCACCUUCCCGGGAUCAUCGUCAAUGGUUGAGAACGGUUACCAAUUUCAAAGGAUUUCGAAAGACGGACUAGCGGAACGUGCCGAAUUUAGUGGGUGGGCAAAGCUAGUUUUGUAUUAGGUUAACUUUGGAAAUUUUGUUCAAAACGUGUUUGUAACCGGAUCUAUAUUUCCGAGUUUCGGAUCCAAUCAAUAUAUAUUAUUU